rnacentral:rRNA from 1 species
UACGUAGGGGGCGAGCGUUGUCCGGAAUUAUUGGGCGUAAAGAGCUCGUAGGCGGUCUGUUGCGUCCGCUGUGAAAACUCGAGGCUCAACCUCGAGACGUCGGUUGAAACCGUACGGCUAGAGUCCGGAAGAGGAGAGUGGAAUUCCCGGUGUAGCGGUGAAAUGCGCAGAUAUCGGGAAGAACACCCGUGGCGAAGGCGGCUCUCUGGGACGGUACUGACGCUGAGACGCGAAAGCGUGGGGAGCGAACAGG